rnacentral:rRNA from 1 species
GAUGAACGCUGGCGGCGUGCCUAAUACAUGCAAGUCGAGCGAACAGACGAGGAGCUUGCUCCUCUGACGUUAGCGGCGGACGGGUGAGUAACACGUGGAUAACCUACCUAUAAGACUGGGAUAACUUCGGGAAACCGGAGCUAAUACCGGAUAACAUGUUGAACCGCAUGGUUCAACAGUGAAAGACGGUUUUGCUGUCACUUAUAGAUGGAUCCGCGUCGCAUUAGCUAGUUGGUAAGGUAACGGCUUACCAAGGCAACGAUGCGUAGCCGACCUGAGAGGGUGAUCGGCCACACUGGAACUGAGACACGGUCCAGACUCCUACGGGGGGCAGCAGUAGGGAAUCUUCCGCAAUGGGCGAAAGCCUGACGGAGCAACGCCGCGUGAGUGAAGAAGGUCUUCGGAUCGUAAAACUCUGUUAUUAGGGAAGAACAAAUGUGUAAGUAACUAUGCACGUCUUGACGGUACCUAAUCAGAAAGCCACGGCUAACUACGUG